rfam:Canis lupus familiaris chromosome 8, whole genome shotgun sequence.
AGGAGGAACAACCGCAGUGGCGGGGCCAGCUCUCCAGCCCUGGAGUCAGCCCCCGCAGUGACUAGGGAGCUCUCUGUCUGCAGGGCCUGGAGGCUCCGGGGCGGG